rnacentral:lncRNA from 1 species
GACGCAGUCGGGUGACCGGGCCCGAGUGUCACGCUCUGGGACGCGGUCCACGAGUUGAAGCUACGGGCUUCACGUGGCCGCUGACGUCCUCCGCCUCCAACGAUUCCCUUCGGCAAGACGCCACGUUCCUCGGCACCUCAAACA